UCUUACCCCGAGUCUGCUGUACGGUUACGAUGCAUAGAAAAACCAGCGAGGGCCUGGUCCGGAGGAAGCAGAACGUCCAGAGCUUCCAACUCGUUGAAGUAGAAAUUUUUAUACAAAUCGAGACCUGACUGCUAACAUCCUCCCUGAUACUGCUUUGCACACCUCAGGGACAACUUAAGAGACUCAUGUAUUUUUCAUCAACUAAACCCCCCUCUCCAAACAGAGAGAGCACAGGAUAACGACAUGGCCAACAAUUAUACAUCCCACACAGACUGGUGGAGGAGGAGAAGACUGCAAGAGAGCUAACUCCAGCGUUAAAAUAUUCACAGACAGCAUUAUUAAUAUUUAAUAUUCUACUAAAUCUGCUUUAUUGUUACCAAGCUAAGCAGUAUAUAAAUCAAGUUCUCUCAGCAGCCGAAAAGGAAAAGAGGGAGGGAUGGAGAAGGCAGAGAGGUGUGUGCGUGUGUGCGUGCGUACAUGUGUGAGAGAGAGAAAGAGAAAGAGAGAGAGAGGAAAAGAGAGAGAGACUGCUUCCAUACUAUUAUGAAUGCAUAUGCUGUGAUCAAUGUCAUGUUGGUAAAUUGCCAUUAGACGGAGGCCCUACCAGGUGCACUCAGAAUAAUAAAUCCUAAGUAAUGAGCGCCGAUCUCAGAUCUGUGGAAGGAAAUGACUCGUCUUUAACUGGCACACAGAGAGAGAGAAAGAGAAAGAGA